UUUUUUAAGAAAAUCAUAUUUACAACUAGGUAUUCAGCACGAAUAAGAAUGGGCUAAGCAAGCAGAUGAGAUGACAUGCAUAAGGACACAACGCAGAAAGGAACAGGUGUGCCUGGCUCCUCUUUGAUGACUCCAUCUGCAUCUUGCUGGAAUCACGGUUAUGAGGUAGCCCCCAAAUGCACACCAUGUGAGUCUCCCACCUGCUUGAAGGAGACCUGUUGGUAAUCACCCUCCACGUGCAUCCUUGAAGGGUUCAUCCACGAGUGAGCAAGUUCAUCUGCUGGGGAUCCGCAGCAGGAAGGACUGGAAAGAG